rnacentral:rRNA from 1 species
UGGAGGAAAGCAGGGGAUCGUAAGACCUUGCGCUUUUGGAGCGGCCGAUGUCUGAUUAGCUAGUUGGUGGGGUAAUGGCCUACCAAAGCUUCGAUCAGUAGCUGGUCUGAGAGGACGGCCAGCCACACUGGGACUGAGACACGGCCCAGACUCCUACGGGAGGCAGCAGUGGGGAAUUUUGGACAAUGGGCGCAAGCCUGAUCCUGCCACGCCGCGUGAGUGAAGAAGGCCUUCGGGUUGUAAAGCUCUUUCAGCCGGGAAGAAAAGGCUGCGACUAAUAAUCGCAGUUCAUGACGGUACCGGGAGAAGAAGCACCGGCUAACUACGUGCCAGCAGCCGCGGUAAUACGUAGGGUGCGAGCGUUAAUCGGAAUUACUGGGCGUAAAGGGUGGGCAGGCGGUUUUGUAAGUCAGAUGUGA